AGACAGGUUAGACCAGACAGAUUAGGCCAGACAGAUUAGGCCACUCCAGACAGGUUAGGCCAUACAGAUUAGGCCACUCCAGACAGGUUAGGCCAGACAGAUUAGGCCACUCCAGACAGGUUAGGCCAGACAGAUUAGGCCACUCCAGACAGGUUAGGCCAGACAGAUUAGGCCACUCCAGACAGGUUAGGCCAGACAGAUUAGGCCACUCCAGACAGGUUAGGCCAGACAGAUUAGGCCACUCCAGACAGGUUAGGCCAGACAGAUUAGGCCACUCCAGACGGGUUAGGCCAGACAGAUUAGGCCACUCCAGACGGGGUAGGCCAGACAGAUUAGGCCACUCCAGACGGGUUAGGCCAGACAGAUUAGGCCACUCCAGACAGGUUAGGCCAGACAGAUUAGGCCACUCCAGACAGGUUAGGCCAGACAGAUUAGGCCACUCCAGACGGGUUAGGCCAGACAGAUUAGGCCACUCCAGACGGGUUAGGCCAGACAGAUUAGGCCACCCCAGACAGGUUAGGCCAGACAGAUUUGGCCACUCCAGACGGGUUAGGCCAGACAGAUCAGGCCACUCCAGACAGGUUAGGCCAGACAGAUUAGGCCACUCCAGACGGGUUAGGCCAGACAGAUUAGGCCCUCCAGACAGGUUAGGCCAGACAGAUUAGGCCCUCCAGACAGGUUAAGCCCCUUCCACACGGUGCGGGCCAAAGGGUAGGCUAGGUUAGGUUAGGUUAGCGCCGCGCAUCUCUCCAGGGAAAACUUAUUCAGUAUCUUGGAUGAUUUCUAUGUGAUUUGUUGUACGUUCCUUUUCCUCUUUCAAGUUUUUUUUUUUCUUAUAUAUUUACCGGCCAAAGGUUAGGUUAGGUUAGGUUAGGUUAGCGCCGCGCAUCUCCAAGGGAAAACUCAUUCAGUAUCUUGGUUGAUUUCUAUGUGAUUUGUUGUGCGUUCCUUUUCCUCUUUCAAGUUCUUUUUUUUUUUUUUAUAUAUAUUUACAGCACGUCUUGGUCUGUGGUUUGUGGCGCUGGAAUGCCUGCGGACGAAACUAUAAUCUUUAAAGGCGCGAAAGUUCUCGUUUAUCCCGUUUAUCUCGUUUAUUUAUAUUCUUAGUUAAGUUCAACGUGCACUCCAGACAGCUUAUAGCACGCCUUGGUCUGUGUUCUGUGGCGCUGGGUUAAGGUAUGUAAGUGGAGUGAAAAUUCUCGUUUAUCUCGUUUAUAUACAGUCAUAGUUAGGUUAAAACUACACUCCAGACAGGUUAUAGCACGCCUUGGUCUGUGUUCUGUGGCGCUGGGUUAAGGUAUGUAAGUGGAGUGAAAAUUCUCGUUUAUCUCGUUUAUAUACAGUCAUAGUAAGGUUAAAACUACACUCCAGACAGGUUAUAGCACGCCUUGGUCUGUGUUCUGUGGCGCUGAGUCAGAAUCUAUAUAAUGGAGUGACUAUUUGCUUUUAUCUCGGUUAUAUACAGUCAUUGUUAGGUUAAAAGUACACUCCAGACAGGUUAUAGCACGCCUUGGUCUGUGUUCUGUGGCGCUGAGUCAGAAUCUAUAUAAUGGAGUGACUAUUUGCUUUUAUCUCGUUUAUAUACAGUCAUUGUUAGGUUAAAAGUACACUCCAGACAGGUUAUAAUACGCCUUGGUCUGUGUUUUGUGGCGCUGAAUCAGAAUCUAUUAGUCGAGCGAAAGUUCUCAUUUAUCUUUUUUUAUAUACAGUCCUGUUAAGCUAAAAGUGCACUCCAGACAGCUUACAGCACGCCUUGGUCUGUGUUCUCCGGCGCUGGGAUGCUUGUGGAGACCUGGGGGUGGAUGUGGCCGGGUGUGGCUGGGUGUAGCGGGGCGGAGCUGGGUGGAGGCGUUGCAGUGGGUGAUGUGGGGCUCAGGGUCACCUGCAGAAAGCUUGAUUGCAACGCCUACACCUUGUCCUGCCACCACACCUCGGGAGCCGCGGCGUGAGGGGCAUACACACACACACACACACACACUUUUCUUUUAUCUUCGUUUUCUCUCUCGCUUUCUUUCUUUUUUUCUUUCUUUUUCC